AAAGUACUCCCUCCGUCCCAAAAUUCUUGUCUUAGAUUUGUCUAGAUACGGAUGUAUCAAGUCACAUUUUAGUAUUAGAUACAUCUGUAUCUAGAAAAAUCUAAGACAAGAAAUUUGGGAUAGAGGGAGUAGUUG
rnacentral:pre_miRNA from 1 species